GAUGAACGCUGGCGGCGUGCCUAAUACAUGCAAGUCGAACGAACAGACGAUGAGCUUUCUCCUCUGGCGGUAGCGGCGGACGGUGGGGUACCACGUGGUUAACUUACCUAUAAUACUGGGAUAACUUCGGGAAACCGGAGCUAUUCCCGGAUAUUAUAUUGAUCCGCAUGGUUCGAUCGUGAUAGACGGUUUUUCUUUCACUUAUAGAUGGAUCCUCGCCGCAUUAGCUAGUUGGUGAGGUACCGGCUUACCAAGUCGACGAUGCGUAGCCGACCUGCGAGGGGGAUCGGCCCCACUGGAACUGGAACGAGGUACAGACCACUCCGGGAGGGAGCAGAAGGGAAUGGUGCGGAGUGGGAGAAAGCCUGACGGAACGAAGCGGCGUGAGUGAUGAAGGUCUUCGGAUCGGAAAACUAUGUUAUUAGGGAAGAACAAAUGUGUAAGUAACUAUGCACGUCUUGACGGUACCUAAUCAGAAAGCCACGGCUAACUACGUG
rnacentral:rRNA from 1 species